rnacentral:rRNA from 1 species
GCACAAGCGGCGGAGCAUGCGGAUUAAUCGAUGCAACGCGAAGAACCUUACCAAGGCUUGACAUACACCGGUAACGCCCAGAGAUGGGUGCCCCUUUGUGGUCGGUGGACAGGUGGUGCAUGGUUGUCGUCAGCUCGUGUCGUGAGAUGUUGGGUUAAGUCCCGCAACGAGCGCAACCCUCGUCCUAUGUUGCCAGCGGGUCAUGCCGGGGACUCAUGGGAGACUGCCGGGGUCAACUCGGAGGAAGGUGGGGAUGACGUCAAAUCAUCAUGCCCCUUAUGUCUUGGGCUUCACGCAUGCUACAAUGGCCGGUACAAAGGGCUGCGAUACCGCGAGGUGGAGCGAAUCCCAGAAAGCCGGUCUCAGUUCGGAUUGGGGUCUGCAACUCGACCCCAUGAAGUCGGAGUCGCUAGUAAUCGCAGAUCAGCAACGCUGCGGUGAAUACGUUCCCGGGCCUU